GCUCGCUUUGACAGUGCAUACAUUAAAACUGAAGCAAUACAGAGAAAAUUGGCCAGGUUCCUGAGCAAAAAUGGUUUGGGAAUUCAUGAGGCACUUACAUAUUUU